rnacentral:tRNA from 1 species
AAAAUCUUAAGUUAAAUAAAACUAUUAACCUUCAAAGUUAAAUAUAUAAUAUAUAAUAUAGGUUUUA